CCGACAGCAACAAAAGGAAGGUUAAUGUGACGUGAUGUAAACCAAUGAAGCAGAAGCUCGUAGCAAAGGGUUUUAUUUAAAAUCAAUUCUAUCAAAAGCUGACGGACGGGAUCACAGACCUCGUCACUUCAGUCCCUUCACACUCCACUAGUCAGCCGGACCCCGGGAGGAUAAGAAGUUAUAAACUAUUGCAUAAUCUGAAGUCAUGCCAGUCGGCAACCAGUCGGCAACCGUAUUAAUAAUCAAUAUUAAUAAGACAUAUUAAUUAAUAAACCAUAUUAAUAAUCAAUAUUAACAAUUCAUAUGCCACUUGGUGACUCAAACGUUCGUCUUCUCUGGUCAGUCCAGCAGUUUGCCAUCAGGGCAAACCAAUAAUUCAAAAUAUGGAUUAUUACAACAAUUAUGUGUAUAUUAAUUAUGUGCCUGUUCCUCAUAUUGAAAGGAUGAAGUGAGAUGUCUGUCUGUCUUUCUCCAUGUCUGUCCGACUUAAUGUCUGUCUGACUGUAUGCCUGUUAGCUGGCUAACUGUCAUUAGCCUGCUAGCUGGCUAACUGUCAUUAGCCUGCAUGCUGGCUAGCUUUCAUUAGCCUGCUAGCUGGCUAGCUGUCAUUAGCCUGCUAGCUGGCUAGCUGUCAUUAGCCUGCUAUCUGGCAAGCUGUCAUUAGCCUGCUAGCUGGCAAGCUGUCAUUAGCCUGUUAGCUGGCUUGCUGUGUCCCCAGUGUCUGUACCUACCUGUAGCUGUGCGAGGUGGUGCUAGGUGAUUAAGCGGUGCUAGGUGGUGUAGCGGUGGUGCUAGGUUAUUUAGCUGUGCUAGGUGGUGUAUCGCUGGGGCUAGGUGGUGUAGCUGUGGUGCUAGGUGGUGUAGUGCUGGGGCUAGGUGGUGUAGCGCUGGUGCUAGGUGGUGUAGCGAGGCUAGGUGGUGUAGACGUGCUAGGUGGUGUAGUGGUGGUACUAGGUGGUGUAGCGCUUGGGCUAGGUGAUGUAGCACUGGUGCUAGGUGGUGUAGUGCUGGUACUAGCAGUGCUAGGUGAUGUAGCCAUACUAGGUGGUGUAGCGCUGAUGCUAGGUGAUGUAGCGAUGCUAGGUGGUGUAACAGUGGUGCUAGGUGGUGUAGCGAUGCUAGGUGGUGUAGCACUGGGGCUAGGUGGUGUAGCGCAGGGGCGGUGGAGCAGGAGGGGUUUGGGGGGCAGCGGGGGCUUCAGGGACCCCGUCCUCCACAGGGCGGCGGCCCGCGGGCCCCGGGGCCCGUCGCUGUAGCUGUGCUGCCGCGUCAGGCUAGCGCUAGCCGCUAGCCCGGUAGUGCUGCCGUGUACCGCGUCGCUGCUAGCCUGGGCGGUGGCGGCGGGGCUAGCGUGGCGCGGCGGCGGCGG
ensembl:lncRNA